UACGUAGGGGGCGAGCGUUGUCCGGAUUUAUUGGGCGUAAAGAGCGUGUAGGCGGCCAGGUAGGUCUGCUGUGAAAACUCGAGGCUCAACCUCGAGACGUCGGCGGAAACCAUCUGGCUAGAGUCCGGAAGAGGAGAGUGGAAUUCCUGGUGUAGCGGUGAAAUGCGCAGAUAUCAGGAAGAACACCCGUGGCGAAGGCGGCUCUCUGGGACGGUACUGACGCUGAUACGCGAAAGCGUGGGGAGCAAACAGG
rnacentral:rRNA from 1 species